CCUACGGGAGGCAGCAGUAGGGAAUCUUUCACAAUGGGCGAAAGCCUGAUGGAGCAACGCCGCGUGCAGGAUGAAGGCCUUCGGGUUGGAAACUGCUUUUAUAAGCGAGAAAUAUGAUGGUAACUUAUGAAUAAGGAUCGGCUAACUACGUGCCAGCAGCCGCGGGCAUACGUAGGAUCCGAGCAUUAUCCGGAGUGACUGGGUGUAAAGAGUUGCGUAGGUGGCAUAAUAAGUAGCUAGUGAAAUCUGGUGGCUCAACCAUUCAGACUAUUAGCUAAACUGUUAAGCUCGAGACCGUUAGGGGUAACUGGAAUGUCUAGUGUAGGAGUGAAAUCCGUAGAUAUUAGAAAGAACACCGAUAGCGUAGGCAGGUUACUGGGACGGUUCUGACACUAAGGCACGAAAGCGUAGGGAGCAAACGGGAUUAGAUACCCUUGUAGUC
rnacentral:rRNA from 1 species